rnacentral:lncRNA from 1 species
UUCCUUCGAUUCUUUGCUUCCUUAAUUACCCAUAUAGAUACUGAGCCGCAAAUUCGGCAUUUCCCAUUUUCCCUAUUGUCCAAUCUUCAAAUAAUCUAAACCUAACUACCACAGUACCAACUGCACGAACGAAACCGGAAGAAAAAUGGUAUCGGAAUAGUAGUACUAACACAAGACGUCCACUCUCCAGAGGUUAAAGAGGAAGAAGGAGAAGAAACACAGAGCAGUAGUAUAUAGUACUAACACAAGACGUCCCCUCUCCAGGAUUCCCCUUUUUCUUUUCUUCAACCAUGUUAACGGCGAAGCCUUCAUAAUUGCGUGUAUUUGU